UACAGAGGUCUCAAGCGUUGUUCGGAUUCAUUGGGCGUAAAGGGUGCGUAGGCGGCGCGGUAAGUCGGGUGUGAAAUCUCGGGGCUUAACUCCGAAACUGCAUUCGAUACUGCCGUGCUUGAGGACUGGAGAGGAGACUGGAAUUUACGGUGUAGCGGUGAAAUGCGUAGAUAUCGUAAGGAAGACCAGUGGCGAAGGCGGCCCCCUGGUUGGAUACUGACGCUGAGACGCGAAAGCGUGGGGAGCAAACAGG
rnacentral:rRNA from 1 species